rnacentral:lncRNA from 1 species
AUGCAACGCUGCUGUUUGCAGAGGAAGGACACCAGCUGCAACAAGAGUAGUGUCUGUUCUAGAGUGAGGGAUGAGCUCCACUGGACAUGGGUGGCUUUCCUGGCUGCAGUGAUCAGUAUUUCAUGUUAGCAAGUCUGAGAUUGCUCCAAGUCUUCAUCUCCUGCACUUUAUACUAAUCAAACCAUGUGUGACCACAGCUGUUUUUCCAAAAUGCCUGCGUUACUUGCUUUUGGUGCCGCCAGUCGAGUUCUCACUCCACAUAGCAAUGUCCACAAGGUGGUGCCACAGCUAAGAAGUUUGCAACAAAUAAGGCAAAAGUAAUUUGAUAAUUCUGUCUACUUUUUGCAACUGACUAAAGUAUCUGCAUCAUUAAAGAAUUCAAAUUUAUUGCAUAAGCCAAAUAUCACAGGUUUGCAAGCUCUUUUUUUAAACCACUAGUGUGAGCUAAGGUGUGUCUGUCUGCUGAGGGAGAGCAGCAGCCACACGCCUGUGACUGUCCCAAAUCCUGUACAAAAAUGAAGAGGCAGCUCAGGGUUUAGCAGUUAGGCUGAUGAAGAGCUGUGUAUUUCCUAGCAGGGUUACCUGUGCCAACACUGGCAUGUGUCUUAUGUUUUUGUCUGGGUCUCUUCAGCAGGAAUUGGCCUGAAUCCUGACAAGAAGAGUAGUUCGCCCACAGCUUCAGCUAAGGCAGCUUCCACUUACCCUGGACUGGCUGUGGCACAUCAGACCCGAAUUUCCUGAGGUUUUUCUGGAGCCAGGGGUAGCCAGGCUCCCUGCCCUAUGCUAAUCAACAGCUGACUGUUAAUUCCAAAGGGUAUGAAGUGCUUACAGAGGGAUCUGCACAGAUGCUCAAGUUUCUGGGCAUCUUUCUAGAAAAGAUCAGACUAGAGAAGGUACAAGGCAGUUACAGGGAAUGUAAGAUGUCACAUGUCCAGUACAGAAAAGACAAUAAAACUUCCAGGAAAAAGUUUGGAUGAUUUCUGUAUGUCCCAGAAGAGCUGAAGUGCAGCAGGACUUGGCCAUGCCCCUGAGAUGUGUGCCAGUUCUUCAGCUACCCUUGGCCACAUGGUGCUUCUUGCACCCCUGCCCUGCUCCCCUCAGUGGCCUCUGCAAUCCAGAUAUUUUGCACAGAGUAAAAAUAAUGUUCUAUUCUGAAGGGAAUGAAUGAUAGAGUAUCUAAGAUUAUACAUCUAAGUCUACACAGUGUGGAAACCCCAGGUAUGCAUUAUUUUAGCAAUUUAACAACUGAGUUGAAAUCCUGAACCCUCUCCCUUGCAGUAUUUGCAACAAUUUUUUGCUUUUAUUGCAAAUCCCAUAAAUAUUUUUAAAAGAUCGAAACUUUUUUUCCCCUAAGCCUGAUUUUCUGGUUUCCCAUUUAGGCAGUCCUGAACAAAACCUGCUUCAGCUCCACGCCUGACUCUUCCUGGGAGGAGGAGACUCGCAGCGCUGUGAGUCAGGAGGCAGCGUGAGCUCAGCAAUC